rnacentral:rRNA from 1 species
UCGACGGAGAGUUUGAUCCUGGCUCAGGACGAACGCUGGCGGCGGGCCUAACACAUGCAAGUCGAACGAGAUGCCUUCGGGUAUCUAGUGGCGAACGGGUGAGUAACACGUGAGGAACCUGCCCCGAAGACGGGGAUAACCGUGGGAAACUGCGGCUAAUACCCGAUACCCCCGAUGCGGCGCAUGCCGCGACGAGGAAAUGCUCCGGUGCUUCGGGAGGGCCUCGCGGCCUAUCAGCUAGUUGGUGAGGUAACGGCUCACCAAGGCUUCGACGGGUAGCUGGUCUGAGAGGACGAUCAGCCACACUGGGACUGAGACACGGNNNNNNNNNNCUGCGGGAGGCAGCAGUGGGGAAUCUUGCGCAAUGGGCGAAAGCCUGACGCAGCCACGCCGCGUGGGGGACGAAGGCCCUCGGGUUGUAAACCCCUUUCAGCAGGGACGAAACUGACGGUACCUGCAGAAGAAGCUCCGGCCAACUACGUGCCAGCAGCCGCGGUAACACGUAGGGAGCGAGCGUUGUCCGGAUUUAUUGGGCGUAAAGGGCUCGUAGGCGGUUUGGUAAGUCAGGUGUGAAAGCUCAGGGCUCAACUCUGAGAAGCCAUCUGAAACUGCCAUGACUAGAGUUCGGUAGAGGAGCGUGGAAUUUCCGGUGUAGCGGUGAAAUGCUCAGAUAUCGGGAGGAACACCAGCAGCGAAGGCGGCGCUCUGGGCCGAAACUGACGCUGAGGAGCGAAAGCGUGGGGAGCAAACAGGAUUAGAUACCCUGGUAG